GAAGAAAUGAGAAUUCUGCAGUCUUGGCCAGGGCUGCUGGCGGCAUUGGGUGCCUCCUGGGUGAGCACCCAGCAGCAAGGGACACGUCACCCUGCUUUUGUCUCCAUGCCACAGACCCCAACACUGGGGACAGAUCACAGAGCAGCAGCACUGCAGCAGCAUGUCCCCCUUCCACCUCUCCUUUUGCUCCCUGCCUGCAGCUGCCUUCAAAAGCAACAUGGGAACCCCAGGAGCAGCUCCCUCACAGCUCGCUCAAGCACCAUAUUGCACAAGACACUAUUUUCUGUGCAUGUCAUUGUGGCAGUGACCUAGGAGACACCCAGCCCUGCCACGUGUGCUGCCCUGGGACAAAGAAAAGCCAAGAAGAGGUGGCAGGGAGAGAGAAAGGAAAUAAAUAAAAGUAUUGCACCCUAACAGGGACAGAAUUAACCAGAAACUCUCCUCCUCCAGGUCCUCCCCCAGGCAUGGCAGCUGGCAUGUGUGUUUUACACCAGUUGGCCAAAUGGCCUGGUAGCUAUAGAGGGCAGAAAUCCAGCAUCUGAUUAAAUAAGCAUGUGUGGCUGAGACAUCCAGCACCGGGUCAGGGUCCUGCUGCCGCGGAAAUAAACCUUACCUAUUCCCAUCCACUGGGAUAGAAGGACCAGACUCCACAGCUGGUAGAAGAAACACGUCCAGAACACACACAGUUUAUUAAAAUAUGCAUUCUAUGGGUCAGUGUUUCCAGAUUCACACCAGGAUUUAUGCCUUACGUAAAAGUCACAUUGUAUCCCCCACAACCUGCCAAUAAUUAGCCUUUGAGAACACAUACAGUUUGAUCCCCUCUCCUUCAAACAUCUUCAAUCCACACUUUGAACAUGAUGUGUCCCCCCAGAGUGUCAACCCUUCUCACCCUAAAUACAGCUAAAUUAAAAAAAAAAAACAACCCAAACCACAAACUUCCUCCAAAACAUGUUUGUACCUCUCAGA